CUCUAAAGGAAAUGAGAAAACCUAGAGCUGCACAGGAGGAGGAAUGGAGAUUUCUAGGAGUAUGUGACCACUGGGGCCAUAAAGAGAAAAGAAGCAUUUACCCUGUUGCUCUAGCAUAAGCUAUGCCUCACAGUAACUGAAUAAUGAGAGGAAAUCCAGGGCCUAAGCUACCUGUCCAGCAUACGAAAGCAAACCAUUCCCAG